CAACUAGUCAAGCAUCUGCAGACCAGUGAGGAGGAAAGACUAUAUAGAGAGCAAUAACAACUAUCUCGUUAUUUUUUUUACAUUGGCGUUUCAGUCAUUUAGGGUUAAAUAGGGUUAAGUGCCUUGCUCAAUCAACAGAAUUUUCUCCUAGUCAGCUCUGGCAUUCGAACCAGCAACCUUUCGGUUACUGGUCCAACACUCUUAACCGCUAGGCUACCUUUGUGCCCCCGUUAUAUCAGAUAGACAUUUUCAAGAAAACCAGGGAUAGAGCAGGCUAUUAGUAGUAACAUUAUUAAUUGAAACAAUCACAUGCUAUACCUGUAUUAUAUUCCAUAUUUUGUUUAAAUCGACAGUUGAAGUCGGAGGUUUACAUACACUUAGGUUGGAGUCAUUAAAAUUUGUUUUUCAACCAUUCCACAAAUUUCUUGUUGACAAACAAUAGUUUUGGCAAGUCGGUUAGGACAUCUACUUUGUGCAUGACAAGUAAUUUUUCCAACAAUUGUUUACAGACAGAUUAUUUCACUUCUAAUUCACUGUAUUACAAUUGCAGUGGGUCAACACUAAGUUGACUGUGCCUUUAAACAGCUUGGAAAUUUCCAGAAAACGAUGUCAUGGCUUUAGAAGUUCUGAUAGGCUAAUUGACAUCAUUUGAGUCAAUUGGAGGUGUACCAGUGGAUCUAUUUCAAGCCCUACCUUCAAACUCAAUUCCUCUUUGCUUGACAUCAUGGGAAAAUCUGAAGAAAUCAGCCAAGACCUCAGAAAACAUACCUCCACAAGUCUAGUUCAUCCUUAGGAGCAAUUUCCAAAUGCCUGAAGGUGUCACGUUCAUCUGUACAAACAAUAGUACGCAACUAAUCAGACAAAACUAAAUGAAACAGAAAAGGGGAUCGGUGGCAGCUAGUAGGCCGGCGACGACGACCGCCGAGCGCCGCCCAAACAGGAAGAGGCACCAUCUUCGGCGGGAUUCGUGACAUACACAGCAGUAUUGUUCUUUUCCAUAGAAGAUCUACGGUUGGGCAUGCUCCCACUAAUUCCCCUCUCCGUGUCAACCCUCCCGGACGACCUGAGCCCCUGGUAGUGCUGCUGGUCCAACUGCAGCUGCUGACCCCUAGCCUCUGCAUUCCUUGCUCUUUGGGUUGUUUUUUUGACUGGGUAUUUGUAAUGCAAUUUGUGACAACUGCUGAUGUGAAACAAAGGGCUUUACAAAAAUACAUUUGAUUGAUUAAUAAUGAAACCCCAUCAUUGGCUAAAAGGAGUUCACCAAACAUUUACACCGUUUUCAGGCCUAUGUACUACUUGCACCUGUCUUGAUUAAUGGGAGUUCCACUUCUCUCUUUUGUUGCAGCUUGGUGAGGAGCCCAGGAGCUUUUCUCUGUGCACAAUGUACCUGUAUAAGCUGCCCACAUCUUGCCAGCCCAUAUCAGUGUACCUACCACCAAGUGUCAUCAUGAAACGAUCACAAUAGUCAUGCAUUUGUAACAAGAACAGUGAGUGUUACGUUGGGGUUGUAUAUCCUUGUUUUGCAAAUAUAAAUGGUUAGCUGAUCUGGACUUCAUUCUAAUGUAAAUGAUUCUCUUGGAUGACUUAACAUCCCUCAUUAUCAAUAACUACCAUCCACAUGCAAUCCACCACCUCUUUUCAUUCCUCCUCAAUCAGCAUUUGUACAUGGAUCAACAAAGUUUUUUUUAUGUAUUUCCGAUUAAUAUUUCCUUUUGUCAAUAACCGCUUCUAUACAUCAUGGCAACAUGCUUGAUUGAAAAUCUUUAAACAUGUCUAUAGACUUUAUGAAGGUUAUGGGGGUGAUGCUGUUGUCUAUCAGAUUACAUAUAUUAUGCCACUAUAUUAUGAACUAGCACCACGGAUGGAGGGGGAGGAAAACAGAUGUCUUCUCUCUACCACACCUUCAGCAAGUCAUCCAAUGUUUGCUUCAUAAACAAUUGUUGCAUCUAAAAUAAAUACAUCAUUCAUUUUGUUUCUAAUGUUGUUUUUUUUAAUGCUAGAUGCGAGUAAUUUAGCAGUUAUAUAAUCAAAUCAAACUUUAUUUGUCACAUGCGCCCGAAUAGAACAGGCCUUAACCAACAGUGCAGUUCAAGAAAGAGUUCAGAAAAUAUUUACCAAAUAAAGUUAAAAAAAAAUAGAAAAAGGUAACACAGUAAAAUAACAUUAACAAAGCUAUAUACAAGGGGUACUGGUACCGUGUCAAUUUGCAGGGAUACAGGUUAGUUUAGGUAUUUUGUACAAGUAGGUAGGGGUGAAGUGACUAUGCAUAGAUAAUAAACAGCAAGUAGCAGCAAUGUAAAAAAAAUGGGGGGGAACAAUGUAAAUAGUCCGGGUGGUAAACUAGUAUUUUUGUCCUAGACUUUGCGUUCCGGUACCGCUUGCCGUGCAGUAGCAGAGAGAACAGUCUAUAACUUGGGUGACUGGAGUCUUUUGGGCUUUCCUCUGACACCGCCUAUAGGUCUUGGAUGGCAGGAAGCUUGGCCCCAGUGAUGUACUGGGCCGUUCGCACUACACUCUGUAAUGCCUUAUGGUCAGAUGUCGAGCAGUUGCCAUACCAAGCAGUGAUGUAACCGCUCUUGAUGAUGCUUUUUAAAGAUCUGGGGACCCAUGCAAAAUCUUUUCAGUCUCCUUCACGGCUGUCUUG
rnacentral:lncRNA from 13 species